AUGCCCAGUGAUUAUAAAAAGACGCGUUAUUCUGAGGGUUACAACCCGCUGCCAGUCUGUUCUCUUACUUCUACUCUGUCUUUUGUGCUUAUCCAUCUCUCCUCUCCUUUGUCCUCUUCCUCCUCUGUUUUUCUAACUGGUGGCUGGUCCGCUGACUGCGAUUAUGAGAUAUGAGGGCAU
ensembl:snoRNA small nucleolar RNA SNORD97